UACAGAGGGUGCGAGCGUUAAUCGGAAUUACUGGGCGUAAAGCGUGCGUAGACGGUUAUCUAAGUCGGAUGUGAAAGCCCCGGGCUCAACCUGGGAAUUGCAUUCGAGACUGAAUAGCUAGGGUGCGGUAGAGGGAAGCGGAAUUUCCGGUGUAGCGGUGAAAUGCGUAGAUAUCAGGAGGAACACCGAUGGCGAAGGCAGAUCUCUGGGCCGUAACUGACGCUGAGGAGCGAAAGCAUGGGGAGCGAACAGG
rnacentral:rRNA from 1 species